GACGAACGCUGGCGGCGUGCUUAACACAUGCAAGUCGAACGGUGAAGCGCCUUCCUUUUUGGUGGGUGUGGAUGAGUGGCGAACGGGUGAGUAACACGUGAGUAACCUGCCCCCUUCUUCUGGAUAACCGCAUGAAAGUGUGGCUAAUACGGGAUAUUCUGGGUCUGUCGCAUGAUGGGUCUGGGAAAGAUAUUGUUUCGGUGGGGGAUGGGCUCGCGGCCUAUCAGCUUGUUGGUGGGGUGAUGGCCUACCAAGGCGGUGACGGGUAGCCGGCCUGAGAGGGUGGACGGUCACACUGGGACUGAGACACGGCCCAGACUCCUACGGGAGGCAGCAGUGGGGAAGAUUGCACAAUGGGCGCAAGCCUGAUGCAGCGACGCCGCGUGAGGGAUGGAGGCCUUCGGGUGGUGAACCUCUUUCGCCAGUGAAGCAGGCCUGCCUCGUUUGUGGGUGGGUUGACGGUAGCUGGAUAAGAAGCGCCGGCUAACUACGU
rnacentral:rRNA from 1 species